CUCCGCUGGUUGCCUGGCGACCAUCUACAGGAAGAAAUAGUCCAAACCGCAACCCCUCUUUAAAACGGUCGUUUUCUAAUUCGUCUGUGUUUUUGGGGAUUACAACCAAAUACAAAGUUUUAUUUUGUGAGCUUAAAGUGUGCUGGUGGGAUGUUGUUAACAUUUGACAGAGCCAGGCUAACGUUAGCCGUUUUCCCGGUUUCCACUCACAAGGCCAUGCUAAGCUUACCGGCUGCUAGCUUGACCGUUAGCUUCCUAUCCAUCCAACAGACAGUAUUUCUGCAUUGAGUAGAGGUGGAGGGAUUGUAACAGAUAGAGGACAUUUUGUGCUCAAAAGACUGUGAGUCACACCAGUGUAAACUCACUUCACGGCCUGUGUGGAGAGGAGGAAUGAUUACAGCAACCCAUGACUUUUUCAAAAUUUGUAUGGGCAGGCAGGAAUCUGUGUGUCCAAGGACGCCUGUCCAUGAGAGGCCUGUCUUCAGCUCCGGGACAUGACGUGGACCCUGAGGAACAGCUGAGUGGUGUAAAGUUACUGUGAACAAGAAUGCAGUGAGCACAAGGGCCUACUGUUCUCCAUACUGCAGCCUGUAUGGAUGUCGG